AACGCUGGCGGCGUGCCUAAUACAUGCAAGUCGAACGGUCUUUUCUAUGGAAGCUUGCUUCCACUGAGAAGAUAGUGGCGAACGGGUGAGUAACACGUGGGUAACCUGCCCAUAAGAGGGGGGAUAACAUCCGGAAACGGGUGCUAAUACCGCAUAGUUUUCUUGAUCGCAUGAUUGAGAAAGGAAAGACGGCCUUUGUGCUGUCGCUUAUGGAUGGACCCGCGGCGUAUUAGUUAGUUGGUGAGGUAACGGCUCACCAAGACGAUGAUACGUAGCCGACCUGAGAGGGUGAUCGGCCACAUUGGGACUGAGACACGGCCCAAACUCCUACGGGAGGCAGCAGUAGGGAAUCUUCCGCAAUGGACGGAAGUCUGACGGAGCAACGCCGCGUGAGUGAAGAAAGGUUUUCGGAUCGUAAAACUCUGUUGUCAGAGAAGAACAAGUUGGAGAGUAACUGCUCCAGCCUUGACGGUAUCUGACCAGAAAGCCACGGCUAACUACGUGCCAGCCGCCGC
rnacentral:rRNA from 1 species